rnacentral:rRNA from 1 species
CCUACGGGUGGCAGCAGUGAGGAAUAUUGGUCAAUGGACGAGAGUCUGAACCAGCCAAGUAGCGUGAAGGAUGACUGCCCUAUGGGUUGUAAACUUCUUUUAUAUGGGAAUAAAAUGUUCCACGUGUGGGAUUUUGUAUGUACCAUAUGAAUAAGGAUCGGCUAACUCCGUGCCAGCAGCCGCGGUAAUACGGAGGAUCCGAGCGUUAUCCGGAUUUAUUGGGUUUAAAGGGAGCGUAGGUUGAUUGUUAAGUCAGUUGUGAAAGUUUGGGGCUCAACCGUAAAAUUGCAGUUGAAACUGGCAGUCUUGAGUACAGUAGAGGUGGGCGGAAUGCGUGGUGUAGCGGUGAAAUGCUUAGAUAUCACGAAGAACUCCGAUUGCGAAGGCAGUUCACUGGACUGCAACUGACACUGAGGCUCGAAAGUGUGGGUAUCAAACAGGAUUAGAUACCCUAGUAGUC